rnacentral:rRNA from 1 species
GGCAGACGGGUGAGUAACACGUGGACAACCUACCCUCGAGUGUGGAAUAACACCGCGAAAGCGGUGCUAAUACCGCAUAACAUCUUCGGGUCGCAUGAUCUGAAGAUCAAAAGCGCAAGUUGCUUGAGGAGGGGUUCGCGCCUGAUUAGCUAGUUGGUGAGGUAACGGCCCACCAAGGCAACGAUCAGUAGCCGGCCUGAGAGGGCGAACGGCCACACUGGAACUGAGACACGGUCCAGACUCCUACGGGAGGCAGCAGUGGGGAAUUUUGCGCAAUGGGCGAAAGCCUGACGCAGCAACGCCGCGUGGAGGAUGAAGGUCUUCGGAUCGUAAACUCCUGUCAGUGGGGACGAAUGCUUCGCAAGAAGUUUGACUGUACCCGCUGAGGAAGCCACGGCUAACUCCGUGCCAGCAGCCGCGGUAAUACGGAGGUGGCAAGCGUUGUUCGGAAUUACUGGGCGUAAAGGGCGCGUAGGCGGCUUGGCAAGUCAGAUGUGAAAGCCCCGGGCUUAACUCGGGAAUUGCAUCUGAAACUGCUUUGCUUGAGUCCUG